rnacentral:rRNA from 1 species
GCUUAACACAUGCAAGUCGAACGGUAAGGCCCUUCGGGGUACACGAGUGGCGAACGGGUGAGUAACACGUGGGUGAUCUGCCCUGCACUUUGGGAUAAGCCUGGGAAACUGGGUCUAAUACCGAAUAGGACCAUGGACUUCACGGUUUGUGGUGGAAAGCUUUUGCGGUGUGGGAUGGGCCCGCGGCCUAUCAGCUUGUUGGUGGGGUAAUGGCCUACCAAGGCGACGACGGGGUAGCCGGCCUGAGAGGGUGACCGGCCACACUGGGACUGAGAUACGGCCCAGACUCCUACGGGAGGCAGCAGUGGGGAAUAUUGCACAAUGGGCGCAAGCCUGAUGCAGCGACGCCGCGUGAGGGAUGACGGCCUUCGGGUUGUAAACCUCUUUCAGCACAGACGAAGCGCAAGUGACGGUAUGUGCAGAAGAAGGACCGGCCAACUACGUG